CUCUCUUCUACUGCAUCCUCCCCGCCAUCUAGCUACCCUAUGUCUCCAGACUACCAUUAUGUUUUCUUCUUUCACAGCCUUUCAGCCUUUACUUCAAACAUUUAGCAAAUCAAAAACAUAACACUGGAAUGUCAACUUGAGUUAUGUGUAAUAUCAUGUUACAUACUCAGACCAGCUGUACCCGACGUGGUCACUAGAUGUCACUAGAGUCCUGGAAAUGCCAGAUUUCACUAGCUUGGACRCACACACACAUUUAGGUUAGAAAAGUCUGUUUCUAUUGUUUUAUUUCUUUAGUCUGUUUGUCAAUGUCUGCAUCCCUUAAUUUUUUUUCAACAGCCGUCCAUCUCUCCUAACCAGAGUACAAUCAUCUCAUAACGUUUUUAUGGAACACCUGACGAUGGCAGCGGAGGAGGAAAGUGCUGACUACAGCUGAUCUAGGAGCCAACUAACAAGCCAAACGCAGGGGCUCUUUUCUACUCUUCAAAUCAAGCAUCUAGUUUAUCAUCCAUGGGAUGCAAGGGAAAUACUAUAGCUAGUCUAUCAAUCAAUAAGGAUUUAUACUGGGGAGGGGUAAGGGGUCAGGGGUGGGUUAGGGGUAUUGAUUGUACAGUGUGGGUCUCUGUUGAUUGGACAGUGAGACAGUUUAAUUGGAGAGGCUUACUAGUGGCUAAGAACUAUAAUAUUAAAAUGAUGCCUAAACUGUGUUGCCUUGGUAAAAGAUACAAGUGAUUUAUUGAGAAAGCACUUUAAUACUCAUGUUGGCAGGUUUUGGGGGAUUUUAAAUUCAAAGUUAAACUGUAGGUGAAGAUAGAUUUUUUGUAUUUUCUUCGAUAACARCUGUUCUGGGGUUUUCUGUAUAACUUGUUUGUGUUAUUGAGAAACACAUUCUUUGAUUGCUUUUGUUGCCUUAAAUUAGUCCAAUCUGA